rnacentral:rRNA from 1 species
CCUACGGGAGGCAGCAGUGGGGAAUAUUGGACAAUGGGCGAAAGCCUGAUCCAGCAAUGCCGCGUGAGUGAUGAAGGCCUUAGGGUUGUAAAGCUCUUUUACCAGGGAUGAUAAUGACAGUACCUGGAGAAUAAGCUCCGGCUAACUCCGUGCCAGCAGCCGCGGUAAUACGGAGGGAGCUAGCGUUGUUCGGAAUUACUGGGCGUAAAGCGUACGUAGGCGGUUAUUCAAGUCAGAGGUGAAAGCCCGGGGCUCAACCCCGGAACUGCCUUUGAAACUAGAUAGCUAGAAUCUUGGAGAGGUUAGUGGAAUUCCGAGUGUAGAGGUGAAAUUCGUAGAUAUUCGGAAGAACACCAGUGGCGAAGGCGACUAACUGGACAAGUAUUGACGCUGAGGUACGAAAGCGUGGGGAGCAAACAGGAUUAGAUACCCUGGUAGUCCACGCCGUAAACGAUGAUAACUAGUUGUUCGGGUCACUUGGUGCCUGAGUGACGCAGCUAACGCAUUAAGUUAUCCGCCUGGGGAGUACGGUCGCAAGNUUAAAACUCAAAUGAAUUGACGG